CCUACGGGAGGCAGCAGUGAGGAAUAUUGGUCAAUGGACGAGAGUCUGAACCAGCCAAGUAGCGUGAAGGAUGACUGCCCUAUGGGUUGUAAACUUCUUUUAUAAAGGAAUAAAACGAGGCACGUGUGCCUUUUUGCAUGUACGUUAUGAAUAAGGAUCGGCUAACUCCGUGCCAGCAGCCGCGGUAAUACGGAGGAGCCGAGCGUUAUCCGGAUUUAUUGGGUUUAACGGGAGCGUAGAUGGGUUGUUAAGUCAGUUGUGAAAGUUUGCGGCUCAACCGUAAAAUUGCAAUUGUUACGGGCAGUCUUGAGUACAGUUGCGGUAGGCGGCUUUCGUGGUGUAGCGGU
rnacentral:rRNA from 1 species